AUCCUACGGGACGCAGCAGUAGGGAAUCUUCCACAAUGGACGAAAGUCUGAUGGAGCAACGCCGCGUGAGUGAAGAAGGGUUUCGGCUCGUAAAGCUCUUUUGGUAGUGAAGAAAGAUAGAGGGAGUAACUGGCCUUUAUUUGACGGUAAUUACUUAGAAAGUCACGGCUAACUACGUUCCAGCAGCCGCGGUAAUACGUAGGUGGCAAGCGUUGUCCGGGUUUAUUGGGCGUAAAGCGAGUGCAGGCGGUUCCAUAAAUCUGAUGUUUAA
rnacentral:rRNA from 1 species